AUUUAGUUUGUUUAGAUUUGCACUAAACAACAUGUUAGGUGAACUUCACUGUUUCCUGUCUGAGCCUAAAGAGUGCUUCUCUAAUAUGUGCUAUGGCAGAUAGUUGUCUAUUCAACUUAAUGAUAAGCAUUUGUGUUAAGAAGUCAAAAGCCAUGUUAGAACAUAAGAAAGUUAUUUACAAAACAGUGACCCCACUUUUUUGGAGAGGGCAUCUCUAUUGCUCCUGGCAACAUCUGUCACCAUUGAACUUCCCUCACUUUUUGAGAUUUUUCCAGUCAAGGAACUGUUAGGUAAUUAAGAAAUGUCACUCUUUCUAAUUUUUUUCAGGGCUUAUGAAUUUACUUGUUUAAUUUAACAGUAGUAAUAAAAACAGCUGUCAUUGUUUUAAUAUUUUAACAUUUAUCUGCAAUGCAUCAUGAAUUUAUAAAACACAGUUCCCCUUUUCCCAGACUAUAAUCUUAGAAUUCCAUUCUUAGCCUAAUGGAAAAAUCAUGUGACUGGGUUUUUGUCUGGCUCUGUAAAUAUCACUCAAUCCUAAUUUAAAGUGUCACUGAACUUUGCAGGCAUCAAAUAACAGAUUUGUAUCUAUAAAAGAAAAUAGCUCUUUGUUUCCAGAAUUAAAAAAAUAAACUUCUUGCCAAUAAUACAUUUUCUAAAGGUUUGGAUACUUAAAGGUAGAAUCAAGGACAUAUGGGAUCACUAUCUUUUCAUGUUCUUCAAAAAGAAUAUGGUGAUUAAACUCAGUGAAUUUUAUUUUUUAGCGCUGAUCUAAGAUCUCACAGCUUUAAAUUUAAGUAGGUCAAAAUUUGGAAGGAACUUUGUUCUGUCAACAUUUAUAUAUUCCAAAUACCCAAAGCAUUAAAAAAGGUUCUCAAAAAGUAUUUUUUCUUGCCCUGGUCGGGUGGCUUAGUUAGUUGGAGCACUGUCC